CUUUACGAUUUUACGCUUGAACGAAAUGUCGGUAGGUCGAACAGAUUUGGUGUUCAAUUUUAUAAUUUAAAAACGAGAUGCGGCUGCUUAUCGUGGUUUUUAUAUCUAUAUGUGGUGCCAAUCAAAUCCAGGUAUUAAUGUCAAACAGAUGGAAAAUGAAUGAUGUAGAGUACGGAGAAAGGUUAUCGAG